UCUUUUUGUGAACUCCUUUUCUU
rnacentral:snRNA from 1 species